rnacentral:rRNA from 1 species
ACGGCUCAGUAACACGUAGUCAAUCUGCCCUCAGGACGGGUAUACCCUCGGGAAACUGAGGUUAACUCCCGAUGGGCCAUCUAUGCUGGAAUGCUUGAUGGCCAAAAUCACGCAGCGAAUUGGAGUUGCGUUGGCCUGAGGAUGAGACUGCGCCUGAUUAGGUAGUUGGUGAGGUAACGGCUCACCAAGCCGAUAAUCAGUAGGGGCAAUGGGAGUUGGAGCCCCGAGAAGGACACUGAGACAAGGGUCCUAGUCCUACGGGAUGCAGCAGGCGCGAAACCUUUGCCAUGCGCGAAAGCGUGACAGGGGAAUUCCGAGUGGUAGGGGGGUUUACCUCCCUAUCUUUUGGCCAAUCCAAACAAUUGGCAGAAUAAGAUCUGGGUAAGACAAGUGCCAGCCGCCAUGCGCGUGAUCAUUCGCACGCACGGCACGGUACGCGGUAAUACUGGCAGAGCAAGUGGUAUCCACGAAUAUUGGGUCUAAAGAGUCCGUAGCGGGCCUGUUAAGUCCACUGUGAAAUCUGGCGGCUCAACCGUCAGGCGUGCAGUGGAUACUGGCAGGCUUGGGAGUGGGGGAGGUCGGGAGUACUCACGGGGUAGCGGUAAAAUGCUGUAAUCCUGUGAGGACUACCAGUGGCGAAGGCGCCCGACCAAAACACGUCCGACCGUGAGGGACGAAAGGCUAGGAGAACGAAUCGGAUUAGAUACCCGAGUAGCCCUAGCAGUAAAUUAUGCAGACUGUGGUGUUGCGUCGACUUCGAGUCGGCGCAGUGCUGUAGCGUAAGUUG